ACAAUUACAGAAACGACUUAUAAUUUAAAAAAAAAUAUAGUUACAAUUCCAUUAAUGCAGAUGUUUUAUAUAAUACCAUGGGAGGAACUCAUUUACCAUGUUUGUGCAAUAAAUUUUGAGCUUGCGAACAAAGGCACAAUCUGUCGUAACGGUUUUGAUCGACUCAGGUAUUUUAUUAUAAAUUUUAGCACCCAUUACGCCAAGAGCCUUACCGGUUUUCUGAAGCCUAUGCGCGGGGAUAGCCAGCCCUGGUUUUGUCCUUGCAAAAUGACUCUUUGCAGUCGGGAACAUAGCAAUGCGUAUGUACUAAUCAGUGCUUGCUGGAAGAGCUACGUAUAAAACGCCAGUUGUCAACGAUAUGCUAAGACGUUAUAUACUUCGGACACCUCUCACGUCGCUACCCUGAUAGGCUGGAGAGCCAUAAUGACGGGCAAACUUGAAGGCACGAGACCUCAGAACCAUCCUCCUACUAGAUGGUCUGCUCAAAUUAAAUAUUUGAGACCAUGCACUUAGCGAGGAACAGCCUAUGAAAUAACCUGGUCUUCAAUAUGAGGGCAUACUGUCACGAUCCUCAGCAUCGAAAAAACGACUGAAGCAGAAAAGGAUGAGAGAACUGACCAGCGGCUUAGCGGCGGAGGUCAACCUUAUACUUGUCUUACCAAACGGCUAGAUAUAUAUUCCGUCCAAUAUGAUCUUUCCCAGCAGUGGUUUUUCGCUGUCUUAUCUACAUUUUUAGUACAUCUGCAGCAAUGCAGAUAGAUGCGAGAUUCGAAUUUCGACUGCUGUGUUCGUAAGACUCAGAGAUGGGAGAAAAAUACGAGUAUUUCGAAUAAGAAUAAAAGUAAUUAAUCAUAAGUGGUACAGCGAUAUGUCAACUUGCUUGAAUCUGUAACAGCGCAACUGUGGAUACUUCCCACUAGGUACUCCUCCACCUUACAGAAGAUCACAGCCAGUAGUAGUGAUAACUACUAUUUAUUUUUCAUCACACUUGCUCCUGAAUAGUGUUAUUGUACGUUUGAACGUUUCUAAUUUAAUAUUAUUGUUUAUGUUUAUAAAUAUUUAAUUUGAUUAUUUUCAUGUUAGGGAUAGGUAUUUUUGUGUCAAUUCAGUUUUGUUUUUUUUUUUAAUGGCGGGGUUCACGACGUCUACAGCUCACAGAGCAACAUCGCUUAAUGUAGAAGAAUAAUUUUAUUCACGAAUAAUCUAGUAACGAAUUUAUUCGAAUAAUAUCCGCCUCUGUACCGGCUGGCCCGCUAUAUUUGCAAGCCGCUUACGUAGAAAGUGACCCCGUGUAGAAAUACCCUUUUAAGGCGAGCUAUUUUAGACCCGAAUUUCUAUCGAGCAAACUUUAUAAGUAUACGCCAUCCUUAAGUUAGGGAAUAAAUGGAACAGUCUGUUUUGAUACGAAUAUUUUUCGAUUACAAAUUGAAAUAAAUUUCAUAUACUAAAGAAAAAGGGACCAAGCCAUCCGACUUAUUUAUAUUUUGUGCGACUACUUAAAACACACAAAUAAAAAAUAUAGGUUUUAAAAUAUAUAAUAAUUGUAUAAUAAUAGUAAUAGUUAUUUGUUACUGUUAAGAGGACAAAGUUGUUGUUUAACCGCUCGUGCUAAUAUUGAUACCCGAGCAAGCGAGUAGCGAGUGGUUCGAGAAGUAGAAUCUUGAGCGAUGUGAGGGUUUCGAGGCACGAGAGUUAAACAAACUUUGUCUCCGAGUGAAACAUAAAGUUUUUCACCACACCAACAUAGUGGAUCGAAAUGACUAAACAAUGAGGACCGACCGAGAUCUCGGUCUCGGUCUCGGCAUUCUCGGACAAAAAUCGAGCCGAGAACUCAGUCCGGCUGUCGGCCAAUAUGGGCCGACAUAUUUUUGUCAUUUUGAUAAAAAUAAAAACAAUUUUGUACAAGAAAAUAGCUAAGAAUUACGACGUAAAAAGAAGUGUUAUAAGUUUAACAUAGGUGUGUGUGUGUGUGUCUGUUCAUGGCUCCUAAACUAACUUUAAUUAAAAUUAAAUAAUCAACUUAACUGCCUAAAACAAUUGCAAUGUGUAUUGGAAAUAAAUCACACGUAAAUUGACGUUUAAGCCAAUUAAAAUACACAUCAUUAAUCUAUCCAGAUCGAACUCCAUUAUAAUGGUGUUGAUACACAUCACACCUGAGUCAACAGAGGGGGUGGCUAUCAGUGGCGGAUCGUUCAAAGAACUCGAUUCCCACCGGCUUGUCUAAUUUCAGCCCGUUGAGUACUGUCACAAUCGGUUCAUGGAAAAAAGGAAAGCAAAAUUAGCUCCGGGUUCCCUACGAAUAUUUGUGACGCGCCGCCACUGGUGGCUAUACAGCUAUGUAUGUGCAUCGUUCAUCGUAAAUGCAUCGGUAUUGCGAAUGUGUGGGAUUUGCAUUGGUUGAAUACUAACUAAUUUAUUUUAUUUUUAUUAUAGAACAUUCUAACACAAAUUGAAGAAGUCCCACAGUAAGCUCAAUAAGGCUUGUGUUGAGGGUACUUAGACAACGAUAUAUACAAUUUGUUUGUCUACGUAUAGUCGAGCCGUUAACCACGUAUAAUAUGAUGAAUUUUAUCGACAAAUCACUAUGUUUUUUCUCAACCAUAUUAAAACUGCACCCCUUCAAAGUUUUAUACUCCCAAACACGACUGCACUUGGUUAAUGUACCAUUAUCUGUCCAUUUACCUUCGUACAGAAAAAAAAUAAACAUCAUUCGAUAGCUUAUGAAUUAGGGCAUUAAUUUUAAGCAUAAAUGUUACAGAAAAUUUUCAAGAACAAAGAUAAAAUUGUCUUCAAAAAUGUACUUUUUUUACAUUUUAUCUUUUUUUUUAAAACGAGGUCGUGGACAUAUACUUUUUAAUUGUUAAAUGGUAGUACAAGAUAUCAGCUAAAAGUUGACGUCAAAAUGAUAGCCCUAGUUAAAAUACUUCACAAGUUACACUAAUCCAAAUAAGACCUUCUGUAAUGUGCGUCGAACUAAGUUGCUUUAGUUCCAAAUGAUAAUUCGGGCGGCGGGCGAUGUUUCUUUGGAACUGCCAAAUCAUCAUAGAUAUUUUAAAUAUUUAAAGAUAGUUUAAAAGAAGAAGAAGAACCCCCCACGCGAAAAUAGGGGUGUUACUUAUACGUUUGACGCCAAUUUAUUUACUUAUUUUAUUUAAUAAGACACGGUAUAUCUUAAAUAAAAUCGUAGCCCCACAAAAAUAUGUAUCGAAAGAAUCGUCUCAUAAGUAUGGUACUACGCUCUUAUUACACUGGAAUAAGAGUUUGAAUUAAGAGGACAUAUUUUUGAGUAAGAUGUGUACACCCAUAUUUUUACACUUGACUUUACCAUGGUAUUCUAUUUCCUACGGAAGGUGGAGGUAAGGAAAUAAAUCUCCAUGUACCAAAAAGUGUCAUCAAAAAACCUUAAAUAGGUGGCGCUACAAUACCUAGAGUACUUGACCAAAAAAUCAAAUCAUAGACAGCGCACUUCACUCCGUCAAUAACGCCUAGGUUCUUAGCUACUCUAGCGCUACUCUGGAAGUAUUUGGAACUAUUAUUUAUAUCUGACAGCUGGACACUUUUGCAACAGUUCUACCAUAAGAGAUGCCUCUCCUCUUAAUUCCACACUCCAUACUAUUUCCUUUGCUUGUGUCAUAAUCCCAAAAAAAUGGAUCAGUUCUGAUGAAUUCAUUUCACAUGAAUAGAAACUUAUUUUGAACAUCACAAUAACCCCUAUAUACUUACUUUACUCUUUGCAAUAACCUUUAUCCCGAAACACGUCGGCCGCGGCACAAAGACGGGUCAAGUGCCGGUACCAAUUAUAUGGGUGACGACACGUCCCUUUGAAGCGUCGUCUACAUUCACACAACACAGCUGUGUUGACAUAUAUACAUUACAUGGUACUUAUAAUACUUACAUCAAAUUGUCAUUUUUGGGGUUUGUUUAUAUUAACUAUUAGUUCGCCCCGAACUGAGAACUCGCGGUUCGCCAAGAACACAGCCAAAAAGAUAGAUCGAUUGAAUGCUAGGUGCUUAGUCGGCAAAGGAUUGAAAACCGGGUGCGAUUUAUUGCAAGAUAUGUGGAGCCCUUAAUUGAUAGAUUUAAGUCACCAUAGAUAUCAAAAUCAACUGUAUGGUAGGCCGUUAUCUUUCUUGUCAAAUGUCAAAUAUCUACAUUAUGUUAAUUUUAUUUCAUUUUAUCUUGCAAAUUAAUUUAAAAUCGUAAAUUAAAAAACCAAUAGGUACCUAUUAUAAAUGUGUAAACCGAUCACUUACAUUUGAUAUCAAACUCGACCAUACUUUCUUGGAAAUCAAGUUCGAUAAGAACUUCGCUUCGCUCGCUCGUUCGAAUAUACAGAUAAUAAAGUAAAUAAAGCAUCUUCUAUUGUAUUAUCAUAAUAUUGAAGACGGGUCAAUUCGGAAAUUCGGGAAGACGGGGAUUGUUUCCCAUAAAAUGUUAAGUCAUAAUGUAUUGCUUGUCCGCAUUUUCGUUACUCAUAAUUUGUUUUUUUCUCAGAAACGCGUAACUUUUCAGGAUUGCUAUAAAACUAACCUAACCUAUCUAUAGGAUAGCCUUACGAAAAUUCUGAGAAGUUAACGGUCUCAAAAUUAACCUAACCUAUCUAUAGGAUAACCUUACGAAAAUUCUGAGAAGUUAACGGUUUCAGAAGACUAAUGAUAAUCUGACAAUCAUUACAUUAUGACUUUCAAUAAUUAUGUCAAGCAAAGUCAUCUGCACUCCCUUUUAGGGGUAGGAGGGUGAAAGCUACAGUAUUCUUAAUUUUUCUGUUCUUUGUAUGUAAAUCCUAGACUAUGCCAAAUUUCAGCUUUCUAGGACCUCGGGAAGUAUCCUCGAUUUUGUGUCAGCGAGUGAGCGGCGAAAUCGUCGUUCUUUAGGUACAGUCAGCAUCAAAAGUAGCGGAUCAAACAAGGUUUCAAAAGUAUCUACCAUUCUGAAACAACUCAACAAAAUGUGGUGGUUCUAUAUGUACAACAUUUAAGUCGGUAAAAGAUAUACUUUUGAAUGUAAAUUUUAGAGAUUUAUCUAUAUUUAGAGAAGUUAUCCGGAAUAUCAGAUACUUUUGGCGCGUUGUUUAAUCCGCUACUAUUGAUGCUGACUGUACCUAUUCAUAAAAUCUAAAGUAUGAGCUAGAUUGACGUAACACCAGAAAACUAAAAUUAAUUUCAUCAACUAGAAUUUGAAAUAGAGGUGAAUCGUCAAAGAAAACUUUGUAGCCACAGUAAAUUUACUGCCAUCUUCCGACAAAUGAUUAAAACUUUUAGAACGCCAUUUGACUUUGAUCCUUAUUCUUUCACUGAUAUGUGUUAAAGGAGAAUGGGCAAUUUGUCCCAUGGAUGUAUACUGUUGAGACAUAUCUCGUUUGAAAGGGUUUACUCUUAGCAUUAUUUUAUUGUAUGACACCAACUUUGGAUAACGUGCAGGGACUGAGCAAUUUAAAAAAAAGAGUGGCGAAUAUAAACUGUUGUUUUACAAAGUACUUGUUAUGUAGCCGGUUGUUAGGUGUUUUGUAUGAAAGAAUAUGAGAAAUUCUAGAUUUCUGUUUACCACUACUUACGUUUAAGUACGUACAGGGCUGGAAUUAGUUGAUAUAACAUAUGCUUGAAUUAAAAAUACUGCUAUUAAACACUGAAACUUGCUUGUAUACUCAAGCCAUAUAUCUCAUUUAAAAGACAUUUUUAUAAGGUAUUUUAAUAUAUAUAUACUUGCACUCAAAUGCUUGCAGGGGCGGUAAUAAAACGAGUUUUUUCGUUAAUUAAUUGUGGUAAAUGCCGCUUUGUUUGUUCUACCUGGCACUAGAUGGAGCCUUGGUAGCAGUUUGGGUAAUUUUUACUAUUGGUAUAUACAAUUGAGUCAUAUCCUAUUUGGAAGGUCUUCAAUUAAGCAUUAAUUACUUAUAUGACACCAAAGACCGAAAGUGUCCAGGGAAGAUGAUAUUAAUAAUUUUGAUCAUGCGCUGCGGCGUAAACUGGAACUAAAAAAUGUCAUUCAUAUAGAGUUACUUUUGUAACCAUUUACAUCACUUUGCAUGCCUGAAAUAUAAUGAAAAAGUAAUUUAUAUAUAUUUUUAAAUUAUUACCGCUCAAUAAAUGGCACUAAACUACUUAAUUAUGAUUUUUCAAAUCCUCUCUAGUACUGACAUCUUGCGUGCAAUAGGAGAACCGAAUGAGCGGCAAAUGCUGGAUCCGUAUAGUCGCUUAUUAACGCUAAAAAUGUCACCGAAGAAUAAGUUUGUUUAAUUCGGAACUUUGACAAUAAAACGAGUGGUUACCUUGAACUAGUAAGUUUCGUCUAUUUAUCUCUCUUGCUCUUACAUUUUCGAGUGAUAAAGGUAGAAAAAGCAUUACAUUUUUUAAAGUUCGCGUUAUGUCCCGCUAAAAACGUUAUAUAAACUUAUUAUUAAACAUGAAAUAAGAUUCCUAAGCAAUAAGUAGGUAAGUAAAUGUAUUUAUGGAGUAGUUGGAGUACCAUAAUUAGCAGCAAGAAAAUAAAUCUAAGUUUAUAUGUUACGAUAAAAUAAAUCGUAAAAAGGUACUAUGUACAUACUUGUUUUGUUUCUCUGCAGGAAAAUUGUGUAAAAGUGAAACAUUUGAGAUUGCGUCGCGGUUCAAAGCAACGUUCCUUUCGUUUGCCAUAUGAAGCAGGAUUAAAUUGUGUAGUUUUAAGUUCUCAUGUCGCACAAAUAUUAGCAGGAUGAGUCGACAAGUUAAUUUAAAGCAAGCAUUGGUGAAUAGGUGCAUCCAGAUCCAGAUAAGAGAAUGCAUGGUUAUUGCGCCAAUCUCGGACCAUUUGCGAUUGGUUUGCUAAGGGCACCGCUAGCUGGUGGGGAUGCACAGAGCACUUAUACAUACCUUAUUAAAUAAAAACUUUUGAAUACA